UACGAAGGGGGCGAGCGUUGUUCGGAUUUACUGGGCGUAAAGGGCACGCAGGCGGUCGCGUAAGAGUGCGGGGACAGUGGGCGGCUUAACUGCCCAAGGGUCGCACAGACUGCGUGACUAGAGGGCCAGAGAGGGACCUGGAAUUCCGGGUGGAGCGGUGAAAUGCGUAGAGUAGUCCGGGAGGAACGACCGGUGGCGAAGGCGGGUCUCUGGGCCGUUACUGGACGCUGAGGAGCGAAAGCGUGGGGAGCGAACAGG
rnacentral:rRNA from 1 species